UACGUAGGGCGCAAGCGUUAUCCGGAAUUAUUGGGCGUAAAGAGCUCGUAGGCGGUUUGUCGCGUCUGCCGUGAAAGUCCGGAGCUCAACUCCGGAUCUGCGGUGGGUACGGGCAGACUAGAGUGAUGUAGGGGAGACUGGAAUUCCUGGUGUAGCGGUGAAAUGCGCAGAGAUCCGGAAGAACACCGGUGGCGAAGGCGGUCGCUGGGGGUAAUGCUGACACUGAGG
rnacentral:rRNA from 1 species